UUAGUCGUUGUUUGAAAGACCUGUGAACAAGAAAAAGAAAUCGUUGUUUCGAUAGGAUGCAGUACAUUCAGUUGUGUGAGCUUAUUUAUAUAUAACGAAUAAUCCACAUCGACACGAACGAUUAUUUUGACAACCGGUCACGAGGAAACGGCCUAGUCCCAUACGGUAGCACCUAAGCAGGGUGCAGGCGUUGAGAAAAAUGCCAGAGGUUUCCAGACCCGCAUAAAGCAAUGACAGACUGAUGUGUGGAAGGACACAUGCGCGCGCAGUCACAAAACGUUACAGGUUCUUUAGAAUAAUCCAAAUACGCUCCUUCAGAAGAUAUUUCAAGACUUACCACAGUUACGUGUCUGAUUUCUACGCAAAAUCUGAUUGGAUGUCAUUGUUUAGCAAGAACCACAUUACGG